GAUAAUUCACUCGGUUUAACCACAGGCCAGUGGAAAUUGCCAUAGAAAUAAGUAAUUGUGGUAAUAGGUUAUACAAAAUUGGUUAGUGGAGGUAUAUUCUUGGCCUUUGUUUUAGAUUCUGAUCAUGUCUAAAGAAUUAACAGACAAAUGCCUUUUGAGCAUUUCAACCCGACAAAUUAAUCGUAUAAUUAGUAAUCUAUCCAAAAAACAUGACACAUCAAAUUCCGAACGAAUAAAUGUUGAUAAGCAGGUUGAUAUUAACCCUGCCGGUAGUAGUAAUGAUGAACCCGAUGAACCAUUUAAUAAUGAAAUACCUUUCGAUACCAGAAGUGAAUGCUUUAUUGAAUCAGGUAACGAUGAAACAACUUUUCCUUCCGAAUGUAAGAACGAUGACCUCGACGAUGACGUUAAUGCAUUAAAUGAUUCGUUCAAUAUGGCUGAUGUUUUGUCUGAUAGUUUACAACGUACUCCAUCGUUUGCAAACGAUUUAAGAUUAUGGGCGAUAAAAAACAAGAUUCCUCAUUCUGCACUGUCUGAGUUAAUGAAAAUACUGUUGAAGCAUAACAUUAAAUCUGAUGAAUUGCCCAGUGACUCUCGAACGCUAUUAAAAACCCCUCGAUCUACUGUUAUUCGACCAGUUAAACCUGGGAAUUAUCUUCAUUUUGGUGUGCGUAAUGGAAUAUUAAAUACUUUUAAAAGUACCAAAUUUAAGGGCGAUAAAAAAUCCAUAGCAUUAAAAAUAAAUAUAGAUGGAUUACCGAUUUCCGACAGUAAUAAUAGUCAACUGUGGCCUAUCCUAGGUUGUAUCAACUCUAUCAAUAUUAUCUUUAUUAUUGGAAUUUACCACGGUCUCUCCAAGCCAGUCGAUGCAAAUGAAUUUUUAGAAAAUUUUGUUGAAGAAAUGAAAGUAUUAAUUACCGAAGGAAUUGAAUGUUUUGGAGUAACAUUUUCAGUUUCUAUGCAUAGUUUGAUAUGUGAUGCACCCGCGAAAAGUUUUGUUUUAAAAACAAAAGGCCACAGUGGAUACUCCAGUUGUACAAAAUGCAUUCAAGAGGGCGAAUACUUGGAAAAUCGUUUAUGUUUUCCUCAAAUUAAUUCCCAAUUGAGAACAGACAGAGAUUUUAUUAAUCAAUCAGAUGAGGCUCAUCAUACUGGUGUCUCAAUUAUGACAUCAAUUCCAAAUUUUGGUCCUAUCACCAAUGUACCCUUGGAUUAUAUGCACCUUGUGUGCAUUGGUGUUGUAAAAAAAAUGGUAUCAUUGUGGCAAAGUGGAUCAUUAAAAUUUAGAUUAUCACAUAAACAAACAAGUGUAAUUUCUGACAAAAUGUUGCAAUACCGAAACCAUAUCCCGAAGGAAUUUCCUCGUAGGCCUCGCGAAAUUUCAUCUGUAUCACAAUGGAAAGCAACGGAAUUAAGACUAUUUCUUUUGUAUUUGUCACCAUCUGCUCUCAGUGACACAAUGAACUCUUCGAUGUAUUUUAAUUUUCUUACUUUGCAUGUAGCCAUUAGAAUUUUAUGCAAUAGUCAACUAUUAGAAAAUUAUUCAGAUUAUGCUGGGUUGUUACUGCAGCACUUUGUAAGUUCUUUUCAAAAAAUGUAUGGCAAAUGUUUAAUUUCCCAUAAUGUUCAUGGACUGCUUCAUAUUACCGAUGAUGCAAAAAACUUAGGGACUUUGGAUUCAUAUAGUGCAUUUCCUUUUGAAAACUAUAUGCGCCAGUUAAAAAUGAAAUUAAGGAAAGCAGAUAAACCAUUGCAACAAUUACAUCGGAGAUAUAUGGAGCAAUUUUCUACUGAUAUCUUAUCAUUAGAAACAUCUCAAAACAUGAACUGGACAUUUAAAAAUAAAUAUGAUGGUGGGCCUCUUACACAGGGAUUAACAAAUGAAGUACAGUUUAAAGAAUUAUACACACCUGAGUGGUGCCUUAGUAUAACUAUGCCAAAUAAUUGUUGUAAAAUUAAUGAUUCAGUGAUACUUGUAUGUAAUUUUGUAAUAAUUCAGGAAGUUAUGAUGGUUAUUGGGAAACGUUUUAAAAAACAGUCGGAUGUCUAUGUUAAACCUUGCCCCUCUUCACUUAUCAAUAUAUAUUAUGUAGAAAGUGUGUCAGAUAAAUUAGAAAUUUGGUCCGUGUCCGAGAUAAAAUAUAAAUAUGUUCAAAUACCAUUUAAAAAUGGGUAUGCUGUAUACCCACUUCUCCAUGCCGAUAACAAAUUUUAAAUUUAUAAAUAGGACCCUUUAUUUUACUUUUUCUGCACAUAAAUUUUGUUUAGAAUAAUUUGUCAUCCAAUAUUGAAAAGCAAUCAGAAAAACACCUGUUGUAGAUAUCCUGUAUAUAGUUAUGCUGCCUUCAGUUGCACAAAUGCAGUAUCUAUGUGAAACCCUUAUACCAUAUUUUAUUUAUGAAUAAACUCUUAUUUAGAAAUGUUUUACUACCUUUCUGAUAAGCACACUAGAUAGAUUCGCUCGGUUUGCAUUUGUUACGUACAACAUACAUCAUAUGAAUUCUUUUCACUUCAUGUGCUUUUGCUACUGAGGGCGGUAUAGUACUCUUAAUGCAGUAGCAGUAGGUGACGUUUUGUAUUUCAUAAAUUCAGUGUUCUUUUCACUAUGUUCAUUUUGUAUUUUUAUGUUGGUAAUGUUCUGUAAAUUGCCAUUUGUCUUUAGAACAACUUAGAUAUUAUUAUAAUUAUAGAAUAUUUAAAAAAUGGAGAGCCAAUGGUCUGUAGUGUUAUUCGAAGACGGGCUACAGUUGGUUCCUACUGAUUGGAUUGUGGGAAACAGUUGCUAUUGGCCCACGUUUACUAGUACCACACGGUACGAAAAAGCGGUUAAAAGCUGGGAGUCGCCAAAUGAAGGAUGGCCCCUUUAUGAAAUGCGCGUUUUAGGAACUUUUUCCUCAUAUGAAACCGCAAGGCGAAAACUAAUAAUAGCAGAGGAACACUCUGAUUUGAAUACAGAUCAUGAAUUAUCCAAAGAAAAUCGGAGGCGUAAAAAAAAAAGAUUAUUUCGUCUAGUGAAGAAGAAGAGGAGGAUUCUCAAGUUGGCGUUUUAAACAUAUCAGAAUUUCCUGAUCUACCUCAAGAUAUUCGGAAGAAUGAUUCAACUGAAGUUUCAGCAUCCAGUUCAAGGAGACUUCUACUACAAGAAUCUCAAGCACAUGUAAUGUCACGCUCACAGUGUUCCACGCCAUCUAGUAGAAAUGAUGAAGCAUCCAGUUCAAGGAGACUUCCACUACAAGAAUCUUAAACAUAUGUAAUGUCACGCAAACCUGAUGAAGGGUUUGAGGAGAAGCUGUUUAAAGAGCUGUCUUUUAUAAGGGUUCAUUUAGUGAAAAUUGGCCAACAACUGUCAGUACUAGAAUUGAACAUGAAAUCUCAUCAACUUCAAGAUAAUGACAAGAACGAGGAGAAACAUGAUAACUUUGAAGAGAUAAUACGCAAGUUUCCUUUGGAUACCGAAUUAGAUCUAAGAAACAUGGAGGUUUAUCUUCUCAACAACCCUGAUUUUAAGAAAUACCUAAUCAAUUACUGCAGUCGAUUAGGAGGACUAAAAAUUGAUCAAAUCACCAAAAUUAUGUUAAGAAAACUAAUUUCAAAUAAACUAGCAGCCAACUACAGCUGGCUAGGAGCUAAAAAGAAGCAAUCUUUCAACCUGCUGAUUGCAGAGGUUAUUUUAUGUGCCGUAAAGCAAAAUAAGUUAAUUGGUGAGACCACCGAGAAGGAAAUGAUUGACUCUGUAAAAAAUUGGUUAAAACAUGCACAUGUGAGGUAUACCAACCAAUGUAAACGGGAACAAAAGGGCGCAGAAGAACCUACAGGAUAAGUUGUUUUUCUUUUUUAUAAAUUUCUUAAUCUUAACUAUUAUAUUUUAUAUUAUUACUAUUCUGGUUUUAUACACAUGAAUAUUUUGUGCUUUUUAAGUUGUAACUAAUAAAUAAAUCAUACAUU